UUUCCGUAGGUGGACCUGCGGAAGGAUCAUUAUUGUAUAACCGAUGUGCGAGGUCUGUCGCUGACCCGUGAGGACUUUACCGCCCUGGUGCCCUCACUCACACCCAUCUCCCCCGUAGGGGCACCACCCCGUGGCUCCCCCUUUGCCUCGUUCGCAUGAGCGCUUAAGUUUCCACGCAAACUUUGUAUGCGUAUAAGUAUGUAUUUUUUGUUUUUGCGAGCACGCUAUCAAUCCAACUUGCAACAACGGAUCUCUUGUCUCUAGCAGCGAUGAAGAACC
rnacentral:misc_RNA from 1 species